rnacentral:lncRNA from 1 species
UUUGGCUGCCUUCAGGCCAUUUCACUGUUAAUUAGCACUUCUAUUUUAUCAUGAGUGACAAAAAUAAGGAAAGAAAAUCAAGGCAGUCGGUUUGGUACUAAUUACCACCUAGUUAAAAAAUAAAAAGGCUGAGGCCAUUAGUGAAAAUGAGAUUUGAGGUUGUCUGUAGAAUUCACUUAUUUGUCUUCAGCAGUCAUUGCCUAUGAAAGCUUCAUUGAGCAUCAGGGAGCUGGGUGUCUUCCCUCAGGGCCUUCCUCAAUUUAAUCACUUAUCAAGUUAUGUCACAAUUAUCCAUGUAUGUGCCCCCUGCCAUGACAAAGAACAUGUGCUCUGUCUUAUUCAUCUUUGUACCCCCAUCUUGACAUAAAGCAGAUGCUCAAUAAAUAUUUUUGAACUGUUAAAGGGUUGUAUAGUUGCUUGAUAAUCAAUCAGAAUAAACUGAUGAAGUUUCAAGAAAUGUUUAGAAUAGUUAUAGGGCACCUAGAAAUACAGGUCAAGGUCUAGCAAUCCCAAUAUAUCAACCAUAGUAUGGUUUCAUGAAGAUAGUCCAUGCAUUGGAAUGAUGGGCUAGGUAAAAAUAAGAGGUGAAAAUAUUCAUGUGGAUGAAAUAGGCGAAUGGGGUUAGGAGGUACAAUCUUCCAGCUAUGAAAUAGAUAACUCACAGGGAUGUAAGGUAUAGGGAAUAUAGUCAGUAAUGUUGUAACAACUUUGUAUAGUGACAGAUGGUAACUGGCAUUUUGGUGAUCAUUUCAUAAUGUAUAAAAAUACUGAAUCAAUCUGUUGUACACUGGAAACUAAUAUUAUUUGUUAAUUAUAACAAUAAAGAAAGUAGUCAUAGAGUUUCAAAUUGAACAGUAAAGACUAAUAAUAGUCUGUGGCUUUUGCUUAAAAAGAGCAAGGAGGCCAAAUGUCAUCUUCUAACUCAUUUUACAAAAUAUUUGGAGGACCUUGGAAGGCCAGCACCACUUGAGAAUAAAAGGCAAGGAAAGAUAGUAAAUAUGAGGUCCUGUUAGGUAAAGGGCUUUAAGAACAAUGCGCAUAACUUGGAUGUGUUCUUUUUGCUUCGUUUUUGUUGUCUUCCCCAUUGAGAACACAUGCAUUUGGAAAAGCAAAGCUUUUGAAGUCAGACAGUUCUAGGUUCAAAUUCAAGCUUCGUAAUUGUUAGCUUUGGGACCAUGAUUUCUUUGAGUUUCAGUUUCUUCAUCGGUUUCGUGAAGAUGAUAAUGCCCACCCUUUCCUGCUGUAGAGGAGACUGAACGCCAGAAUAAACAUGACACUUUAGCAUUGCAACUCUCAUAGAGCAGUGACACAGUAGAGUCACUUCACAUUUCUCAUGUCUGCUAUUUUAUUUUUCAAUUAAUCACAUUUCCGUAAUUCUCGUAGAAAUACAUACUAAUUAUGGACAAUUUAGAAAAUACAGGAAGACAUAAUGAAAUCAUUAAAACCACCUUUCUAUCCCCUAGUAAAGCCACUAGGGGAUGGUUGGGUAGAUGAGUCUGGAGUUGAGGAGAGACAUCUGGCUUGGCUGGAGAGACAAAUUGGGAGUCCUCAGCAGGUGCAUGGGAAUCAAAGCUAGGGGAGUUCAUGAAUUAACCCAGGGAGAAUAUGUGGAGUGAGAAGAAAAGAAAGCUUAGGAUAUAGUCCUAAGAUGAGCCAUGCAAAUGAAAAAAAUAUGUACAAGCCCCAGACUUCUUAAAAGUCUGGCCUCAAUGCAGCUAGAUGAUGAGAGUGUAGCAUCACAAUGGAAGGAAACAGAUUAACUCCAAACAAAAUACUUUCCCCCUCCUGUGUCUUCCUUUAAGUCCCUUUCCCUUUUUUCAGUGGAAACUCCCUUUCCUCAAGAGUUUGCCAUAACUAGAGCCACAGGUCAUGGGGAGCUUGAGCUCUGCACCGUCUGGGGGGGUUGCCACCCUGGAGGAAGAAAUGUUCUUAAUUACAUAAAGGCACUAGCUGGCUGUGACCCUGUCAGAAACCCAUUGUUCUUUUACUUUCUCUCCACAUUCAAAGCCAUUAUGGAUCAAGUGUGAUGUUUUUAUGUAUAUUGACCAAAACAUAUUCAUUUUUUAAUAGAAUAAUGCUUUAUUAUUUUGUUUGCUAAAACAAAGGUAUAAAAUGCGAUGAUGGAGAAGAAUAAGCAGAUUUUUAUGACCCUAAAAUGAAUUAAUAAUAGUCAGGUUAUUAGAAUAUAAAAGAGGCACAUAUGUUUAGCAUAAUGCAGUUUGUGAAAUGACAUACCACUUAACACCAUCAAUGUCCAAUUUUUAUAAUUUCAAAAAUGCAAGAUUAAGAUAAGAAGUUUAUGUCUUUUCCCUUGACUUAUUUUCUUUUACAGUAACCAAAACUUAUUUAUCCUAGAGUGCUUCCUUAGUCAAUAUACAUCCCUGUCAAGACUUGUAUUUGGUGAUUUCCUUGAUGAGCAGCUCCAGGGAACCCCACCAAUAUUGAUUCUAUGUUAUGCUCCAGGGGAUGUUAUUCCUAUAGAAUGCAGUAAAUAUUUAUGAGAAAUUAAAGUCUCUGUCCUCAUUUAAAAGAAUAUAAGUCUGGAGAAAACAGGAAAGAUUUUCCAGUGUCUGCUUUUAUUAUGGUUGAUAUGAACUCAUUUAUUUUUCAAACCAUAAUUAGUGAGCAUACUCUUUCUUCACAUCAUCAGUUUAUUGGAUCUUUCUAAUAGGGGCACAAUAUUACACAUAAUUUUUAGAAAAUGGAAAUGUUCCUAAGGAAAUAUUUUAUUGUUUUCUUCUUGCCAUAGAAUGUUGACAAUUAACACUUCUUUAACUUGCCAUAUAUAUUAAUUCACCAGAGCAAUUUCAGUCUUCUUCAAACUUUCAGUCAAUUGUUGACCAUCAGAGUUCAUGAUAACUGAGCAUUCCUUUUCUUACCAUCAUCAUAAGCCAUUUUAUGAAAAUUAGGGUUUGCGUGGAAAGGUUUUGGAUGGGGGUAGAGAUAGUAAGACAUGAUCCAUUGUAAACUUUACUUUGCCAGACCAAAGAUUCCCUGGCAUGAUGACCAAAAGUGUUAAAAUAUAACAGAUAAACUAUGCAGUAUUUUUGCAGUAGGCUUCUUUUUCGAUGAUUCCUUCCUUAGUGAUCCUUGAAGAUUUAUUCUGUAGCUUCUUUGAAGAAGCCUAGGCCUUCCUCAACUUCCUAUCUAGCCAGAUCUCAGCACAGAGAUUAGUGGACCCACCACUUUGUUGAAGUUUUCAGGCCUGGAGGGGACAGGUAUCUAGUUUUUAGUGUCUGACUAUUUCAAAUGAAAUAGAAAUUACUUUGGCUUAUCUCUUUUUUCCAUUAUCUUCUCUUCUCUCCGUUCAUGCCUAUGGUUCAUAAUUGGCUGUAUAAAUUAAAUACUUCGUAAUGAACCUAAUUCUUAUCUUCUAUAAAUGCAGGCUUAUUAACAUUAAAGAUUACUGGAGUAGUCUGUCAUGUCAAAUCAUUGUACUGAUUUAAAAACAUACUAAUUACCAUAGGAAUUGGGAUUCUAACGUAAGUGCUAUGAGACAGGGUCACAGAAUCUGGAGAAGAGUUUCAGAGCAAAUUAGAGUUUGAGGUCAGAGAAUACAGAAGGUGAGCUUGGAGCAACUUGUGGUGUCAGAAAGUAAGGAAGCAAUGGAAGGAAGGAGGGAAAAGAGGAAGGAAGGGAGAAGGGAAGGGAGGGAGAGAAGGAGGGAUGGAGCGUUGGAGGGAGGGACACAGGAGGGAGGGAGGACACAACGUGAGAGAGACGCAGGCGCCAGCUGAAAGCGCUCCCAACAGGCAAAGCUAGAGCAACAAGAUAGUGUUGGAUUGUAGCCCAAAGGAUAAGAUAAAUAUCCAUGACUCUUUUCUGAUACAUGCAAUUGAAGAAUGGAUAAAUAAAUAUAAGGGAGAGCAGAGACACAUCUCCUAUGCAUAAGGAUUCUCAGAGUUAUGUAGACACUUGCCCUCGAGGCGUUGGAGCAUCAACUCUCCCUUCCUCAAGCAUAACCUUCACAUAGUGUCUUCCUUCCAAAGAAGGCUGCGCGGAAAGUGGAGGAAAACAGACUGUCCAGUGGAGAUGCCUGACGAGUACCACCUCAGACAAGGCGUCAAUGUCAACAUCAACAGUGAUAAUCAUUUUGGGAGAUCAUUUCUUACGUUCAUACCCUUGAUUUGAUAUGCUCAAUAUGGCACUUUCUGAUUUUCCUCCCCAAAACUUACAAUCUUGUCUAAUUAUGAGAAAAACAUCAUAGAAGCUCUAGUUGGGAGACAUUUUACAAACCACCUGACCACUACUCCUUCAAACUGUCAAGGUCAUCACAGACAAGACAAUUCUGAGAAAUGUCACAGCUCAGAGGCACCUAAGGAGACAAGGCACCUAAAUGCAAUGUGGUGUCCUGUAGCAGAGAAAGAACUUUAGAUAAAAACUAAGGAAAUCAGAAUAAUGUAUGGACUUCAUAUGGUGCAGUGGUUAAUGAAUCGGACUAGGAACCAUGAGGUUGUGGGUUCGAUCCCUGGCCUUGCUCAGUGGGUUAAGGAUCUGGCGUUGCUGUGGCUGUGGUGUAGGCCGGUGACUACAGCUCCUCUUGGACCCCUAGCCUGGGAACCUCCAUAUGCCGCAGGUGCAGCCCUAGAAAAGACAAAAUAAAUAAAUAAAUAAAUAAUAAAAUUAAAAGCUGAUUUAAAAACAAAUUUAAGGGAGUUCCCGUUACGGUGCAGCAGAAACAAAUCCAACUAGAAACCAUAAGUUUGCAGGUUCAAUCCCUGGCCUUGCUCAGUGGGUUAAGGAUCUGGUGUCACCAUGAGCUGUGGUGUAGGUCACAGAUGCCGCUCAGAUCUGAUGUGGCUGUGGCUGUGGUGUAGGCCUGCAGCUGUAGCUCCGAUUCGACCCCUAGCCUGGGAACCUCCAUAUACCUUGGGUGUGGCCCUAAAAAGAAAAAAAAAAA